GCAACAAAAUUAUGUUCUUCACUUGCAUAAUGGUGUAGUUUGAUAUGCACACAAAACAUCCACUUUUGGCAGACCAGGAGAAGAUUUGUGUUAAGAAACGCUUCAUAGUUGGUUUUUGAAUUAUGCUGAUCAGGAGAAAAUGAUGAAUGCAACCUACAUUGUCAGUAUUGCAAGAAAGCUUGGAUGUUCAAUAUUCUUGCUUCCCGAAGACAUCACUGAGGUGAAUCAAAACAUGAUCCUUACACUAACAGCUAGUAUAAUGUAUUGGUUCUUAAAGCACCCUCUCGAGGAAAGAACAGUAGGAAAUUCAGACAGUGAGAGUGGGAGUCAAUUGGAAACUACAUCAAAUUCAACACUGGAUGACUCUGCUUCUGAUUCAUCGGCAGAGGAGAAGGGGAGCAUGUAAAUAUGACUUGUGAACACGUUUUUGUUAUGAUCUAUAUAUUAUAAACGUAUGACUCUAGGUAAAUUAAUGGUUCCAAAGCAAAUUCUGGUCAAGCAAGUCUCAUCAAACAUCUAAGGAAACUAACAUUUUAAAAAGCUUUGAAAAGCAAAUCAACAACGCAUGUGGGAAUCAAACUCACGAUUACAUGGUUAAAAGUCAUGCGCUCUACCAGCAGAAGACAUCAGCAGAACACAUCUAUCUACUUAAUAUGUGAAGUAUUAUGCAAAACAUAUUUUUAAAAAGACAUAGUAUUCAUGUAAUACAUGGGCUAAAAUAUUAUUUUGGUCAUUUAUGUUUUAAUGUUUUUCAAUUUUGAUCCUUUAUGUUUUUGAAAAGUUUCAUUUUCGUCCUUC